CGUCUGCAUAUCAAAAGCGGAGGGAAAGAACUUUUGUGUAUUCCCUAUGCGGAGGAAAAGAAACCCACAGGGAUUGCCUUAGUUAGCGGCCGAGUGAGCGGCAAAGCUCAAAUUUGAAAUCUGGCGCCUUCUGUGUCCGAGUUGAAUUUGAAGAAGGUAACUUUGGGGUUGGCUCUUGUCUAUGUUUCUUGGAACAGGACGUCACAGAGGGUGAGAAUCCCGUGCGAUGAGAUGCCCAAUUCCAUGUAAGGGGCCUUCUAAGAGUCGAGUUGUUUGGGAAUGCAGCUCUAAGUGGGUGGUAAAUUCCAUCUAAAGCUAAAUAUUGGCGAGAGACCGAUAGCGAACAAGUACAGUGAUGGAAAGAUGAAAAGAACUUUGAAAAGAGAGUGAAAAAGUACGUGAAAUUGUUGAAAGGGAAGGGCUUGAGAUCAGACUCGGUAUUUUGUGAGCCCUGCCUUCUGGGGGGGGCGACCCGCUUUCAGGGGGCCAGCAUCGUUUUGGUGGGUGGGAUAUUGCCUGGGGAGUGUGACUGUCCCCCGGCGAAGUGUUUUACCCUGUGUAGAUGCUCGCUGCCUACACCAAGCACUGCGAUUUUACCACGGAGGUUGGGUUAAUGACC
rnacentral:rRNA from 1 species